UGGAGUGCUUAUGGGGAACUGUAGCUACUCUGACUCUCAACGUAAUUGGAUAAAAAUAUGAUUCCCUUGAACAUGAGAAGUUCCAUUACAAUGCCCUAAAAAUUAAGUCCCAUUGUAAUUAUGGCCUUUUAGGGUGCUUAGAUUGAGUUUCAGUGCUGCUUAGUCCUUACACAAGUAGGAUAAAAGUCUUCUCCAAAUUGAAACACAAUCUUGGUUUUGCUUUGCCUUUGCAACAAAGUUGUUAAUCUGUUGAUUACUUUAAUGCCCUUGUUAGGGGCGGAUGGAAUGGGCAGACGAGUUGGUGUGUCCAUUGCCACUCUGUCAGGACAUUCAACACUAUGUUACUAGCAAGACUUGUGCAUGUGGUGGUUUACACUUAUCCGCUUAGUUUAAAAAGGCACAAGGCGCACUAAGGCGCACAAGGGUCAUGGAGCCUAGGCGCAAGGCUCAAGCGCGCGCCUUUUGGAUACUGCAAUACACCCACUGCUGCUGCUGUACCUGCUAUGCAACUCACAGCAAAACACAACACAAUGAUAGAGGAAAGGUUGUAACUUUGAUAAAUAGAGUGUUCAACUUCCCCUUUGUCCUGUUGCGUGAGCUUCUUCUCUCUUCUUGUGUAAGUUUGAAUCAGCAGUGGGUUAUGCUGGGGUAUAGCAAUACUCCCCCCCAAAAAACUCACCUUGUCCUCAAGGUGGAAGUCAGGAAAACGCAAAUUGAUCAUGUUGGCAUCCUCCCAUGUAGCCUCAAAUUCAGACAAACCCUUCCACUUCACAAGAACUUCUGUGGCUGCCUCUCCAUUCCUAUGUACAGUCCGUACUCGCCUUAGCUCCUCUGGUUCUACCACCAGCUCAAGGUCAGUAGUCAGUUGGGUGGGAAUGUUCACAGGACCGAUGUUGGAGCCGACUGCAGCCUUGAGUUGUGAGAUGUGAAAAACUGGAUGUAACUUGCACUCCAAGGGCAGAUGAAGUUUGUAAGCUACCUUGCCCACCUUCUGAAUGAUCUGGAAAGGGCCGUAGAACCUUGCUGCUAGCUUCUCGAAGGGUCGCUUGGCCAAGGACUUCUGACGAUAAGACCCUCUUCUACGCUUCCCACAGUGGAGUCUCCCCUAUUGUAUUUAAUUACUGGAGGUGGGUCUCUGCCAUAAACGACCUUGAAUGGGCUCAUUUUUGUCGAACUGUGGGGGGCUGAAUUGUAUGAAUACUCGGCCCAUGCCAGCCAUUUGGCCCAAGCUCGUGGCUGUGUAGAAGUGAAACAUCUCAGAUAUGCCUCUAGCCUUUUGUUUACCACUUCCGUUUGCCCGUCUGUUUGGGGAUGAUAUGCGGUGCUUCUCUUGAGGUGGGUGCCCUGUAAACGAAACAACUCUUUCCAAAAAAUGCUCAGAAAAACCCGGUCGCGAUCUGAUACAAUUGAAGAUGGGAAUCCAUGUAAACGGACCACCUCCUUGAUGAAGGAUUCAGCCACACUCACUGCUGUAAAAGGGUGCCUCAGGCCUAUGAAGUGUGCAUACUUUGAUAGCCGGUCCACAACCACCAAUAUUGAGUCCACCCCCCUUGACAGUGGCAAGCCUUCUACAAAAUCCAUAGACACAUCCUCCCAAAUUUGAGACGGAAUAGGCAAGGGCUGGAUUAAACCUGCUGGGCGCUGCUGUGAGCAUUUGUUUCGUUGGCAGACAUCACAUUUCCCGACAUGCUCGAAAACCAUCUUCCUCAUUCCGGGCCAGAACCACUCUUGGGCCAAUCUGAGAUAAGUUUUUACAUCACCUCCGUGUCCGCCGACGGCAGAGGCAUGGUAUUCCUGUAACAAUGUAGGUAUAAGAGCUGACGACUUUGGAAUGACUAACCUGCCUUUAUAUAGAACUCUACCAUCAAUUAAUUCAAAGUCCUUUUUCUUUUCUCCAACCAGCAGGGCCCUUUUUAUCUCCUGUAUCACAGCGUCCCUUUCUAUUUCUUUUUCCAACUGCUCCCACCUUACCCCGUGCGAAGAACUCAGCGCGCCAAGCUCCACUUCACCAUAAUUCUUUCUGGAUAGGGCAUCGGCAACUCGAUUGGACGUGCCCGGUUUGUAUUGCACCUCAAAAUCGAAGCCCAUCAAUUUACUCACCCAUUUUUGAUAAUCGGCCCCAAUCUCUGAUUGUUGAGUUAUAAAGCGAAGGCUCUGCUGAUCUGUCCUCACUAUGAAGCGUCUUCCCAAUAAAUAGUGUUUCCAUUUAAGGACUGAAAGACAUAUAGCCAUCAGUUCCUUCUCGUACACAGAUUUGGACUGAGCUCUUUGGCCCAAAACUCGACUGUAGAAGGCAAUGGGCCUCCCCUCUUGCAUUAACACAGCUCCCAAACCAAAGCCCGAAGCGUCCGUCUCUACUAUGACUAUGAAUAUCUUGCUGAAGUCCGGCAUUGCUAGAACGGGUGCCGCACACAUGGCAUGUUUCAAUCUUUCAAAAGCUUCUGUCGCCUUCUCUGUCCACCCAAAGGCGUCUUUUCUCAACUGAUCAGUCAAAGGCUGGGCAAUUUGUGCAUAGUGGCACACAAAUUUCCGGUAAUACCCGGUUAAUCCUAGGAAACCCCGUAAUUCUCUCAAAUUUUUGGGCCUGACCCACUCUGUCAUAGCGCGUAUCUUUUCCAUGUCAACUGACACGCCAUCUCCAGAAACUAUAUGACCCAAGUAAGCGACUCUUUCCCUGCCAAACUCACAUUUCUUAAGGUUCGCGUAUAAUUCAUUCUCCUCCAACUUACUCAACACCAAUCUCAAAUGUUCGUGAUGCUCAUAUUUGCUGCAGCUGUAUACCAAGAUAUCAUAAAAAAAAAACAGCACGAAUUUACGAAGAAAUGGUUGAAAUACCUCGUUCAUUAAUGCUUGGAAAGUGGCCGGUGCAUUUGUCAACCCGAAAGGCAUGACCAGAAAUUCAUAGUGCCCCUCAUGGGUUCGGAAAGCGGUUUUCGGGGUGUCUUCGGCUCUCACCCGAAUUUGAUGAUAACCCGAUUUCAAGUCGAGUUUAGAGAACACAACUGCACCGUGUAGCUCGUCGAGCAGCUCAUCUAUGAUUGGUAUGGGAUAUUUGUCGGGUAUUGUCUCUCUAUUAAGUGCCCGGUAGUCCACACAAAAUCGCCACGAACCAUCCUUCUUCUUGACUAAUAAUACCGGGCUAGAAAACGGGCUGGUCGAGGGCUUAAUGAUGCCAGCCAUUAACAUUUCCUUGAUGAGUUUUUCAAUCUCAUCUUUCUGAAACUGAGGAUAACGAUAGGGCCUUACUCCCACUGGAUUGCUCCCUUCCCGCAGAACAAUGUUGUGCUCCCUGUUUCUGAUUGGUGGUAGGCCUAAUGGCAUUUCAAAAACCGACUGAAAACGAGCUAGCAGCCCUUUCAAGUUCUCUGGAAUCUGCCCCCCUUGCUCCAUAUCUCCCUUUCCCCUCGCUUCCAUCUCAUUCAGCUCUAGUAAAACUCCUCCACCUUCCUUGCGUAAAGUACGUAACAUCGCCUUCAACGAUAUUCGGGUUCUUGCUAAGGAUGGGUCUCCCCGUAAACUGAUGGUUCGCCCUCCUUGCUGAUAACUCAUUGUUUGAGACUUCCAAUUACUCUUUACUGUACCUAGUUUCUCGAGCCACUCAAUUCCCAAUAUCACAUCCGAAUUUCCCAAAUUUAAGGGCAGAAAAUCCUCUCGUAUCACCACCUCGUCGCCGAUAAUCAACACCACGUCGUGGCAAACACCAGUGCCUCGUACAGACUCUCCGUUUCCCAAGGAGACUCCAAAACCCCCUGACCCAGACACCUGAAUUUUCAGUUCUUCCACUGUCCUCAAAGAAAUAAAAUUGUGUGUGGCGCCGGGGUCAAUCAUCGCCACCACCUCACGGCCAUCUAUAACUCCCAACAACUUCAUUGUUUUUGGAUUAGAGAGACCCACGACAGAAUUUAGAGUUACCUCGGGUGCGAAAUCCUCGGCGAUCUCAGAUCUGUGUUCCUCCUCUUUGCGUUCCCAUUCUGCCGCCUCCUCGUCAUCAAUUAAGAGUACACUCAGCUCCCGUCGCCGGCAACGGUGACCAAUUUCCCACUUGUCAUCACAUUUGAAGCACAACCCCUUCGACUUUUUCUCUUGAAGCUCCUUCUCGGUUAGCCGGCGAAAUCCCCCACUGGGUUUUGGAAUUAUUGAACUGGAGCGAUUAUAGUUUACUGAUGUUUGUGAACCAGUAGCAGACAUGAGGCCUGCUUUGUGUGAGUUUGUAUGAGAAGUGGGCUGGUUAGCAACUGAGCUCUGGCCCACACCCCCUACUGAUUUGGGUUGUUGGGUGGAGUCCAUGCUUGACCCAGUAGUAUAUGAACCCGCGGAUCCACGAUUAUAUAUUGAGAAGGAUCCGGGUCGAUUUUGGCCCAAACUUCCCAGCCCAAUCCUCCUGGCUCCGUUAACCCUAUUUCUCUCUUCGACCCGAGCCGCCACUUCCAUUGUCUGGUUUAGAGUUAAUGGGUUAAGUAGCCGUACCUCUGCUUUCACCUCCUCCUUCAACCCAUUGAUAAAUUGCCCCAUUAACAAACUGUCAGGAACAUCGUUCAAGGGAGAAGCCGUCUCUAUGAAUCGCUUUCUGUACUCGAUAACGGUGGUCGUCUGUACCGUAGCCAACCAUUGUUCAUGGAGUGAGCCCGCAUUCAUCGGCCUGAAUUGGUGCAAAAUUCUGGUUUUCAGAUCAGACCAUGACUUGACAGGAGCUCUGCCGUUUUCCCAUUGAUACCACUUCAAUGCAUCACCCUCCAUAGCCACAACUGCUGCAUCUACCUUUUCUUCCUCCGUGAGAUGACAAACCAUGAAGUACUUCUCACUUCGCAAUAUCCACCCAUCCGGGUCACUCCCCUCAAACAAAGGCAUCUCUAUUUUCCGGUACUUCCAAUUCCCUCCACCACUACUUUUUCCCUUCUCAAAAAUCCGGCCAGUUUCUUUUUCCUGUCCUCCUCCUUUUGAUGCUGAAUCCACUUCUUCCUCAAUGUGCACCAAGUCUUGCUGGAAGGUUGGUGGCUUCUUGACCCCUGUCAUCAACUCCUUCAUCUCUCUUUGAAAUUUCUCUUGGUCCUUUUGCAUCAAGGCUAUUUGCGUACCUUGGUCCUCCCGGAAUCGAUCAAUUCUUCCUUCAAGUCGACCCGCCGCUGCCUCCAUAGUCUCCUGGUUCUUCCUUGUAUCCUCCUCACUUUUCUCCAUGAAUUUCUCUGUCAGAGUUUUCUGGAAAGCUGCCAUGCCCUCUGCUAGGAUCUGUUGAAUUGUCCCUUCGAGGUUUUCCAUUCUCCCUUCCAAUCCAUCUAGCCUCUGUGUGUGUGAAGACACCAUUCUGGAGUUCUUUCUCCCUUUCCCUGGUUCGUAUCUGCUCUGAUACCAACUGCAAUACACCCACUGCUGCUGCUGUACCUGCUAUGCAACUCACAGCAAAACACAACACAAUGAUAGAGGAAAGGUUGUAACUUUGAUAAAUAGAGUGUAAGUUUACAAUUACCGUUCUGAGAACAUUCGAGAGGUUCUCCACUCUCCCACCAAUCUACUUAAUAAUUCUCAAGAUGAUUUUGUCCAGCCUCUCUUCCCUUCCCUUUUAAUUACAAAAACUCUCACAAGAAAACAAAAGCAUUAAAGUAAAGUAGGCUAAGACAAAAUGGCAGCUUCAAUAGGACAUCUGACUUAAUGUACUUGUAGGGCUGCCUCCACUACUUGGUGCAUUUCCUCACUCUGCUGUGAUUCAACUUCCCCUUUGUCCGGUUGCGUGAGCUUCUUCUCUCUUCUUGUGUAAGUUUGAAUCAGCAGUGGGUUAUGCUGGGGUAUAGCAGAUACGAGGCGCACAUAAUUUCCUAGUAAACCUUAAAAUUCGGUAUAGAACAAAGUUAACAAAACUUAUACUCAAAAUAACAUAAUACUAUUGGAGUGUCAUAUUUAAUAUUUUCUUGCCGUUUCAUAAGCAUCGCGUGAUCACGUCGAUGGAGUGCUUGAAUUAGAACCUUCCAUGGUAAUUACAAGUUGGAAAUAUGAAAAUUAACUCAUAUUAUGCUACUGCCACUACCAAAAAGCUUAGGUUGUAGAGAUAUGACCGUUGAUAGGUCACAUGGGGUAUGUUUAUAUCAUUAAAAAAGAAAAAAAAGUAAAUAAAAGAUUCACGUCAGCCUGUGCGCCUGAAGAUCGAAGGCGCACAAGGCGCUGCGCCUUGCUUAAGGCGCACAAAGGCGCACGAAGGCGCGCGCUUGGUUGACAUCAUUAAGCCUGGAGAGCUGAAGGCGCCGAAGGCUGAGCGUAGGUGAGCCUUGAGCCUAGGCGCGCCUUGGGCGCACUUUUUUAAACUAAGCUUAUCCGAGUCCCUGAACUCAUAAUGCCUCUUUGGACUAUACAUCAUAAUGUUUGAAAAUAAACAUUUACCUUUGACCUCAAGGAUAUACAACUCUUGCCACAUCCUCUUUGAGACAUAGGUACUUGUCUUGGAUUUGAACAAAAUUAUAUGGAGUAUGACGCGAAUUCAGUUCUGUCCUACUGUCUCCUAAAGGAUUGGGUAGUUUGGUGGAUCAUGCAGUAAUGUAGCGCCUUACCCAUGCUUGAAAGUUGGACGAUGAAGCUUACAUGUCUUCUGUAUUAGUAGGAUAUGUCCUGCGGUCCUGCCUCUCCCAUCUUGGUUUUUGGAAGGCUAAAAGCUAGUACUAGCAGAAAAUGUGAUUUCAAGCUUUGAUCUUGAUUUUAGACAUUAAAAUCACCAUCUUUGUUCAUUGUUGCUUGGGUUUAAUUUAGAUUCCUCGAGUUUGGUACCAGCAAAUUAUCAGGCAAGGAGUACAUGAUGUUCUCGUGCUUUACUGGUUGAAGAUCAUUUUAUUUAUGCAAGUAUGCGUGGAACAAGGAUUGAAUUUGUUAUAAUAUGUUGGUUAGUGUCCAAUUAAAUGCAAGGGUCAACCAUAUGUUUUGUAAUUUUAUUUUCUUGAUAUUAUUUGGUAAGCUUUAUCCCUUCUUCAAAGCCAUGUCUAUUGCUACUUCGAUCUGUAGAAGUUCAUCUCAGAUCUUAAAGGGUUGGUAAAACAUUUGGAAGAGGCAUGAUGUUCUAUUUUUCUCAUAUUCAGGGCAAGUGUAAUUAAUAGUCUUUCUAUACUUGACAAAAAAAUAUAUGAAACUCUGAAAGUAUUCUUUCACUGUUGGAGAGGGUAUUCAAUGUCCCAAGUUCCCAACAAUUCCUGUCCUUAAAUGCAGAAAUGAGGAGGCUUCUGGAAUUACGAACCAUGGAUUUCUAGUCGAUUAUCUAGUUUCUUCCCGAAAUAGUUUUUUCUGCAGAAAAUCUGUCUGGUUGUACGAGAGUCGAGAGGCUUGUUUACGUUGAAGAGAUUGCCACAUUUUCUUAGUAGAUAUCUUUAUUUUUCUGUGUAAAGCAGUCCAACUGUCAUAAAGCAGCCUGCAGGCCGGAAGUUAGAAACCAUCCCAGUGAUGCUACGCUGGCCAAGCAUAUACAAGUAUAUUUUUGUGUAUAUAUUUUUGGGGAUAUUUUUCUGUGUAUAUGUUGGAUGGUGUUUCAUUAAUGGUAGUAUCCUUUCCCUCCUCCAAGAACAAACUAUAGUCUUUAUUUUUGUGCACACUGAAUUCUGAAUUAUGUCCAAUUUCUGUUAUUGCUAAAUUGGUUUCAUAAAGCAGCUUGCAGGCUGCAAAUUAGAAAAUUAUCCUAGAGAUGAUAUGCUGGCCAAGCAUAAGUAUUUUUGUUCCACAGACUAAUACACUUGAAACUUUUUGUUGUUGAUUUAUUAUUUUUGGGGAUAUUUUUCUUUGUAUCUCUGACAGAAAUUUUGUUGAUGAUAGUCCCCCCCUCUCCCCCAUAAUAAGCUAUAAUGUUUGUUUUUUAUGGACGCGGACUUCUGUCCAAUGUUUAUUGGCUAAAUUGGUUUUCUAACUU